CCAGUAGCCAAUGAGACAGUGAACAUUUACCUGGCAGUAUAGUCUUUCUACGUGCCCAUCAAAUGCCACAGAUUCAGUGUGCCAAACAAAACCCCAUGUCAUACAUGUAUAGAUUCAGAGAUCUGCUCUUCUGAUCAUAAUAUAUCAUCUAUUUCGUUAUAUAUCAAUAUAGAUUUGAUAUAUAACAUCCAAUUAUGGACAUGUCCGAGUCGGAGGAGAUCAGUCAAGAUCAGGAGAUAAGCAGUGAUGAAGAAAUGAUGCGUCCUGAUAUCACUGAUGCGAGCUCAGUCAAUGGUGAUGGUUAUAGUACUGAUAGUGAUUAUAGUGAAAUUGAUGAUACUGAAAAUACGGAGAGUUCGGUUGAAGGGUUAGAGGAGAUGAAGAGUACUACUGAAGAGGAAUUAGGGUUUGAUCAUGAAAUAAAUCCACAGGAUGAUAACAUGAUCCAAAAUAAUGGAUAUGUUCCAUUCAAUUCAGAUAAUUGUCAGCCCCCUCAGCUUUCUCCUCGAAGUGAGGUUGAGUCCGUGUCAUCCACAAACAUGCCUUUGGAAAUAAAUGAUCGAGCUAGUGACCUUUUAAUGGCAGUCUCAGUUGGUUCUGAUGCAAACAAGAAAAAAAUCAAUGAGAUGGCUGUUUCAGCCAUGGACGAGCUAGUAAGAAAGUGCCUUGCAGGAGAACCUCUAUGGCAGCACCGACAAGAUUGUGACCUUGAGAUUCUAAAUGAAGGAGAAUAUAUAAGAGAAUUCCGUCCAUUUGAUGCAAGUCUAGGAGAGCUAAUGAGAAUAAUUGAGAUGGAAGAUCCUCAAAAUCUUGCAAACUUAUAUGAGAGCAAUGCAAGCACUAAUGGAACUCAACACAAACCUAUGUUUCAGCGAGAUGCUGAAAAAAAUUUCCUUCAAACUGAAGCUUCACGACAUAUAGGGUUUGUUCGUAUGGAUGCUACCAGCCUUGUCGAGUGCCUCAUGGAUGUGAAGCAGUGGUCAUCAGUUUUUUCUAAUAUCGUCUCAAGAACAACUGUACUUGGAGUCUUGUCAAGAGGGGUAGCUGGGAACUACAACGAAACGUUACAAGUGAUGAAGGCAGAGUUUCAUAUGCCUACACCACUUGUUAAUAUUCGAGAGAGUCAGUUUGCAAGGUAUUGUAAGCAGAUAGGGCCUGGAACUUGGGGAGUUGUUGAUGUAUCCUUGGACAGUCUAUUCCCUUAUCCACUAGUAAUUUUUCGGAGAAGACCAUCAGGGUGUUUAAUCGUAGAAAUGCCGGACGGAUACUCUAAGGUUAUUUGGGUUGAGCAUGUGGAAGUGGACAAUAAAUUUGUCCAUAGAAUGUUUUGGCCAAUUGUUCUCCCUGGUUUUGCAUUUAGCGCUAUGCGUUGGGUUGCCAGCAUAGUCCGACAUUGUGAGCCAGUUGGGAAUAUAAUCUCUACUUCCCUUGACAGUGCAACAAUACCCCGAAAUGGGAAAACAAGUGUGUUGAGGCUGGCUCGUAGAAUGAUGAGAAGCUUUUAUCAUGACAACAGUGCUUCUACUGACAAUUUUUGGGUCCGAAUACAUCUAUGUGAUGGUGAAGAUUUUAGGUUAAUGACUAAGACUAUUUAUGCCCUCAAUGGAAGCCCUAGUUCGACUUUAGUUUUCACAACAUCUCUUUGGGUUCCAGCUCCACCAAAGAGAGUCUUUGAUUUUCUUCGCCAUGGGGAUUCUAGAAACAAGUGGGAUUUGCUUGCCCGUGGAUACGCAGUUCAAGAGAUUAUGCAUAUCAUCAAGGGAGAAAGUCCGGAAAAUCGUGUGUCUAUCAUGCAAGUGAAUUCUGCUCCGAACCAGAUAGAAAUCUUGUACUUGCAAGAAAGUUACAGCCAUCCAACUGGAUCGUACGUUGUUUAUGCCCCAAUAGACAUUCUUACUAUGGGCAUGAUGCUGGGUGGUGGAAAUUCAGAUCUUGUUAAUAUUUUGCCAUCAGGUUUUGUGAUACAUCCUGAUGGGCCACUAAGGAAUGGAGAGGAAACUAGAGGAAGUCUUCUCACCCUUGCCUUUCACAUUAUGGAUGGUUCAUCCACGGAGGACUAUCUUCCUGCUGCUGAUUCUGUUAAUACCAUUCAGAAAAUCCUCACAGAAACUGCAACUUUGAUCAAGACAGCUCUUUUAUCUGACAAUCUAUAAAACACAGUUCACCAUCCGGCCGGCACACAUAAAUCGAAAUGCGUAAGUACUAUCCACACUGUUGUGGAAAGAAAGGGAGAAAAAUGUACAAGGAAAAACAGAACAGAAACGAAAUGAAGGAUGUGAUGACAUCUGCUUAUGGCUGGGGAUUAGGCUGUAUGAUAUAUAUAUCCCCAUGUAUGUUGAAUAAACAGUGGGGAGUGAACAUUGAUGCUUUCUGAAAUUUGUGUCUGUGGACCUUAAUUUUGUAUUGCCUAGUGUAACUCUUGGUUUUAGAACUGGAACCUGUUUUCACAAUCUGGGAUUUUGGAGACACUGUCUUCUGCUAUUGGAUGCGGUUUUCUUUAAA